rnacentral:rRNA from 1 species
CCUACGGGAGGCAGCAGUGAGGAAUAUUGGUCAAUGGACGAGAGUCUGAACCAGCCAAGUAGCGUGAAGGAUGACUGCCCUAUGGGUUGUAAACUUCUUUUAUAAAGGAAUAAAACGAGGCACGUGUGCGUUUUUGCAUGUACUUUAUGAAUAAGGAUCGGCUAACUCCGUUCCAGCAACCGCGGUAAUACGGAGGAUCCGAGCGUUAUCCGGAUUUAUUGGGUUUUAAGGGAGCGUAGAUGGGUUGUUAAGUCAGUUGUGAAAGUUUGCGGCUCAACCAUAAAAUUGCAAUUGAUACUGGCGGUCUUGAGUACAGUUGAAGUAGGCGGAAUUCGUGGUGUAGCGGUGAAAUGCUUAGAUAUCACGAAGAACCCCGAUUGCGAAGGCAGCUUACUAAACUGUGACUGACAUUGAUGCUCGAAAGUGUGGGUAUCAAACAGGAUUAGAUACCCCAGUAGUC